GUGCUCGUUUCGGCAGCACGUAGACUAAAAUUGGAAUGGUACAGAGAGAGGAUUAGCAUGGCCCUUGCACAAAGAUGACAUGCAAAUUUAUGAAACACUCCAGAUUAAG
ensembl:snRNA U6 U6 spliceosomal RNA